UCAAGUUAUUAAGGGUGCAGGGCGGAUGCCUUGGCACUAGGAGCCGAUGAAGGACGUGAUAAGCUGCGAUAAGCUUCGGGGAGUUGCACGUAAACUUUGAUCCGAAGAUUUCCGAAUGAGGAAACUCACUUAGAGUAAUGUCUAAGUAUCAUUAAGUGAAUACAUAGCUUAAUGAGGGGAACUCAGGGAACUGAAACAUCUAAGUACCUGAAGGAAGAGAAAGAAAUUCGAUUCCGUAAGUAGCGGCGAGCGAACGCGGAUUAGCCCAAACCAAUAAAGUUUUCUUUAUUGGGGUUGCGGACAUAUCAUAACGAAGAGGUAUCGUAAUUGAAGAGGUUUGGAAAGACCCACCACAGAAGGUAAUAGUCCUGUAUGUUAAACGAGAAGACUUCAGAUAUGAUCCAGAGUACCACGGGACACGUGAAACCCUGUGGGAAGCAGGAGGGACCACCCUCCAAGGCUAAAUACUACCUAGUGACCGAUAGCGUAUAGUACCGUGAGGGAAAGGUGAAAAGAACCCCGGGAGGGGAGUGAAAUAGAACCUGAAACCCUGCACUUACAAGCUGUGGAAGCACAUUUCUUGUGUGACCGCGUACUUUUUGUAGAACGGGCCAACGAGUUACGUUAAGUAGCAAGGUUAAGCACUUAAGGUGCGGAGCCGUAGCGAAAGCGAGUUUUAACUGAGCGUUCAGUUACUUGACGUAGACCCGAAACCGGGCGACCUACCCAUGAGCAGGAUGAAGCGAAAGUAAAAUUUCGUGGAGGUCCGAACCCACGAGCGUUGAAAAGCUCGGGGAUGACUUGUGGGUAGCGGUGAAAUUCCAAUCGAGCCCGGAGAUAGCUGGUUCUCCCCGAAAUAGCUUUAGGGCUAGCCUCAAGGUGAGAGAUACGGAGGUAGAGCACUGAAUGUCCUAGGGGGUAUUGCACCUACCGAAGACUAUCAAACUCCGAAUGCCGUCAUCUUAUACUUGGGAGUCAGACUGUGGGUGAUAAGAUUCAUAGUCGAAAGGGCAACAGCCCAGAUCGUCAGCUAAGGUCCCUAAAUGUAAGUUAAGUGGUAAAGGAUGUGGGAUUGCACAGACAACCAGGAUGUUGGCUUAGAAGCAGCCACUCAUUCAAAGAGUGCGUAAUAGCUCACUGGUCGAGUGAUCCUGCGCCGAAGAUUUCCGGGGCUAAAACUUACUACCGAAGCUACGGCAUCAUUAUGAUGGGUAGGGGAGCUUCCCAUACGGGUUGAAGCAUGACCGUAAGGACAUGUGGACAGUAUGGGAGUGAGAAUGUUGGCAUGAGUAGCGAGAUGUGGGUGAGAAUCCCACAGGCCGUAAACCCAAGGUUUCCAGGGGAAGGUUCGUCCGCCCUGGGUUAGUCGGGACCUAAGCUGAGGCCGAAAGGCGUAGGUGAUGGACAACAGGUUGAUAUUCCUGUACUACCGAUAACCGUUUGAGAGAAGGGAUGACACAGUAGGAUAAGCUAAGCACACUGUUGGUUAUGUGUGCCCAAGCAUUGAGGCAGUCAAAGCAGGCAAAUCCGCUUUGAUAAUGCUGGGAUGUGAUGGGGAGCGAAAUUUAGUAGCGAAGUAGCUGAUUUCACACUGUCAAGAAAAGUCUCUAUCGAGGUUAAAGGUACCCGUACCGCAAACCGACACAGGUGGGUGAGGAGAGUAUCCUAAGGCCAGCGAGAGAACUGUUGUUAAGGAACUCGGCAAAAUGACCCCGUAACUUAGGGAUAAGGGGUGCCACCAUCCGGUGGCCGCAGAGAAUAGGCCCAAGCGACUGUUUACCAAAAACAUAGGUUUCUGCUAAGUCGCAAGACGAUGUAUAGGAGCUGACGCCUGCCCGGUGCUGGAAGGUUAAGGGGAUCUGUUAGAGCAAUCGAAGCAGUGAACUUAAGCCCCAGUAAACGGCGGCCGUAACUAUAACGGUCCUAAGGUAGCGAAAUUCCUUGUCGGGUAAGUUCCGACCCGCACGAAAGGCGUAACGAUUUGGGCACUGUCUCAACAACAGACUCGGUGAAAUUGUAAUUCCGGUGAAGAUGCCGGAUACCUGCGACAGGACGGAAAGACCCCAUGGAGCUUUACUGUAGCUUGACAUUGGGUCUUGGUACUACAUGUACAGGAUAGGUGGGAGGCUUUGAAACCAGGACGCCAGUUUUGGCGGAGCCAUCCUUGGGAUACCACCCUUGUAGUACUGGGACUCUAACCAUAGGCCAUGAAUCUGGUCUUGGGACACUGUCAGGUGGGCAGUUUGACUGGGGCGGUCGCCUCCCAAAAGGUAACGGAGGCGCUCAAAGGUUCUCUCAGUACGGUCGGAAAUCGUACGUAGAGUGUAAAGGCAAAAGAGAGCUUGAUUGCAAGACAUACAGGUCGAGCAAGGAUGAAAAUCGGACUUAGUGAUCCGGUGGUUCUGCGUGGAAGGGCCAUCGCUCAACGGAUAAAAGCUACCCUGGGGAUAACAGGCUUAUCUCCCCCAAGAGUCCACAUCGACGGGGAGGUUUGGCACCUCGAUGUCGGCUCAUCACAUCCUGGGGCUGUAGUAGGUCCCAAGGGUUGGGCUGUUCGCCCAUUAAAGUGGUACGCGAGCUGGGUUCAGAACGUCGUGAGACAGUUCGGUCCCUAUCCGUCGCAGGCGUAGGAAAUUUGAGAAGACCUGUCCUUAGUACGAGAGGACCGGGAUGGACGUACCUCUGGUGUACCAGUUGUUCUGCCAAGGGCAUGGCUGGGUAGCUAUGUACGGAAUGGAUAAGCGCUGAAAGCAUCUAAGCGCGAAGCCAACUUCAAGAUAAGAUUUCCCACCGUAAGGGUAAGACCCCAGAAAGACUAUCUGGUUGAUAGGUCGAAGGUGUAAGUGCAGCAAUGUAUUUAGCUUAUCGAUACUAAUAGGUCGAGGACUUGACCAA
rnacentral:rRNA from 1 species